CCUCUAGUCGAUAUAACGCACUUUCAAUUUUGCUUGCCAUGUGAACUUAAUGUGUAUUCGCUAUGGUGUAAACUGUAUUUUAGAUGGCUAUUCAAUUACACAUGUGCCAUGUUUCCUAUUUUCCUGUGUAUAUUAUUCAAAAUCUAUCAAAUUUUAGCCAAUUUCAAAAAACGCUUAAGUGCGGUUAAGCUGCGCUUAAGCGUCCAUUGCUCUAAGUUGUGGCCUUCCGCUUCGCUUACGCUUUCCGUUUUUCUGAACAUUGCAUAUGCAGUAAGUGUAGUAAGUAGAUAUAUGCAUGACCCCAGAAGUGGAUAUCUUGAUGCAGUCUAUAGAAUCCUGAGGUAUCUAAAGGGGAGCCCUAUAUGGGACUCUCAUUCAAGAGUAAUGGCCAUUUGCAAUUUUGAAUACGGUUAUAGUGAUGCUGAUUGGGCUAGCUGUCUUGAUGAUAGACGAUCGACCUCUGGCUAUUGUGUGUUUAUUGGUGGAAAUUUAGUAUCACUGAAGAGCAAAAAACAACCGAUGGUGUCAAAAUCAACUGCAGAAGCUGAGUAUAGGGUAAUGUCUCAAGACCUAAGUGAGAUGGUGUGGGUAAGGGGCCUUCUGCUUAAGCUGAAGGUGCUUAGACAAGAACCUCUGAAUGUGUGGUGUGACAACAAUUAUGCCAUCAGCAUUGCUAAUAAUCCAGUGCAGCAUGACAGAACAAAAGAUGUCGAGAUAGACAGAUUCUUUAUCAAAGAGAAACUGGAUGCAGGAAUCAUCAAGAUAACUCAUGUGAGCUCUGGACAACAAGUCGCCGAUUGUCUAACAAAAGGUUCGGAAACCAGGGAGAGCAAUCUUGCUUGUGACAAGAUGGGCAUGAUAAAUAUCUAUCAUGCCUCUUGAUCGGGAAUGUUGGGAUGUGCCCUCUCUUUGCUUCAAUGUGUGUGUGUGUGUGCGCGCGCUAUGGCCCAUGUGGCCCAUGUAACCCAGCAGCCUAUAUAUGUACUGCCCCCUGUACAGGAAAUCUUAACCCCAAUAGAAUACAACACCAGGCCAGCUCUCUAUCACAGUCGUCACCCCUCUCAUGUGUGUGUGCGCGCGCUCUAUGGCCCAUGUAACCCAGCAGCCUAUAUAUGUACUGCCUCUGUACAAGAAACCUUAACCCCAAUAGAAUACAACACCAUGCUAGCUCUCUAUCCCAGCCGCCACCCCUCUCCCCCCUAAUUCUACAAAAAUCCAAUCACUUUACAUGACCAAGUUCGACUUAGUUCACAUAGAACACCAGCCACCAUGUAUAGGCAAUCUUUGUAC
rnacentral:lncRNA from 1 species